rnacentral:lncRNA from 7 species
ACCAAGGCACAGAGAUUUGACUACGAGAAAACACCACCAACGCCAACAGCGCGAAACGCACCAGUUCCACCUUUCACAAUCGAUUCCCCUGUCUCCGCGACCCUAGACCGAAAGCAGACACGCAAUAGAUUGCAAGGACCAAGCGGGUAGGCGCCGUCGAGGGCUCGUCAACUCGAGAAAGGGAGAGAGACGUACGGGAAGGAAG